UUAUAAAUAAUACCAUUACUCCAUUUUCUUGCUGUUGGAAAUGUAGAAUUAGCCGAAAGUGGAACAUUUGACAAGAAGGAACAGGAAGGGAUACUUCCUGGGCCUGAGAAGGAAAAGAUGGUGCCUGGACACCAGAUGUGUGCAGGCGCUCCAACAUGACAGUAUGCCAGCACAGAAGGACUCCGCCGCCUGUAGCAACCGCGAUGAAGCUCUAUGACGUUACCACACACGCCAAUAGCUCUGGUUCCAAAUGAUUGAGCAUUUGGGAAGCACCUCCAUCCUCCUGGGCAAUGCUCUGCAGAGAUCAUGGGCUUCUGGCACCUGUGUGGGAAUCAGGGCCACGCAGAGGAGUUUCAGAGUUUCAGAGCUAACACUGAGAUCUUGGGUCCGUUUGGAAUUGACUUUGUGUACACAGUGAACUGGAAGUGUGUUUCCGAAUGGAAUUCGUCCUCAGUGCCGGGCUGGCUGAUUAAGUCCACAGGAAAGGAAGAAAUCAGAGUAAAAUGAAUCAGAAGAGGAGGGUGCAGCACACUGUCAAGCCAAGAAGGCUGGGCUGCUGGAACGCAGGAUGCACAAUGUGCAGUCCCCCAGCUUCUCCAUGGAUGCACAGGGGAGUAAGGGAAGAGGGGAUGUACAGCCAGCCCUCCCAUUCAUUCACCCAGAGGGGAGGAGAGCCCAGUCUGGGAACCACGACAGACAAGAUGCUCAUUAACACCAACAAAGAGGCAGGAACCAUCAAGUCUCUUCUGAUAUCCCCAGCUUCCAGCAAGGACAUCCUGCAAACUGUUGCUUCCCAGUCCUAGCCCUACCAGAGCAGUUGAUGCCUCCUGUUCUCACCAGCGUAGGUUCUUCUAAGGUGGAAAUGUGUUUCUAGAACCCUGAUCAUGUGAUGUACUGAUGCUGGUGACUUUUUUUCAUGACAGAGGAAAAACUCUUUGGGUGGGGGCAAGAAUCAUUGGUUGAAAAAACUUAGUACAGAGCCAUCAAGAUGGCUCAGCUGGUGAAAGCCUUUGCUGUCAAGGCUGACAAUUACGGGGACCUUCAGAGAAAGGAGACAACAGAACCUUCAGAAAGGUCCACAUGCCCAUUGUGGCCCAAGGGCGCUUGCACUACACAGGCACAAAUACAAAACUAGUAACUUCUAGUUUUAAAAAAGUAAAAGCACAACUCCUCUACAAUGAAAACGGUUGACACAACUGAAUGUAGUUUGUCUUCAACUUCAUAGUGGAGGGCACAAUGGGCUUGGGGGUCCAGACGGUCACACCCAGACUGGUUCUUGUGGCAGAGCGGCAGGGACUUGUAGACACGCAUAUGAACAGAUGAACGAGCACUAAUGUAUAGCCAAGCUGGACAACUUGAUUUUGUUUUGUUUGCAAGUUUCUGUCUUUGCCCGUGAGGUUUUCUGGCUUUUGCACAUUCCCUGGGGAAGUUAGAGGUAAGGUCCCUUGGAACUCAGUUGCCACCUGGAGGAGCUUGUGAGAGCAGGGGCAGAACGAGGGCGAGAAGGGGUGACAGCAGAGAAUGUGAGGAGCAGGCUGUGGAGAGCUGAUGGUGUCACUGCCAGUCUAUAGUUGAUCGACAUUAUGGGCUCCACCAGGGAAUCUGGGAAAGUACUUGAGGUAAGAUUUGCAGAAUGGACUUCUGGUUAGCAUUGGCAAGAAAGGUAUGAAUUGUACACGAACCAUAAUGUGACCUUAUUUUGUUGGACUUAAUGGACUUAAUAAUGGACCUUAUUUUUGGCUGACUGUUAAGUCUAGCCUUGUUAACUUGACUGCACCCACCAGUUCUCCAGGACCCGAUGAAGCAGGUGUUACAGGCAGGCCUUUCUGCUGGAGCUGCACUUUCAUGCUUAUGGCUUUGUUUCCACAUACUUUCUUGGACCUAUACAACUUCCUUAUUUUACAUUUUCCUUUUACCGUGGUUCCUUUUCUUCUAAUUUUGUCUACUUGUCAUCUUUAAAAGAUCCAGCUGGAAUUUGUAUUGUUUCCUGGUUCUGCUAUUAUGUAUUGCCACCUCAGUGGAUUAAAGCGACACAAAUGUACCGUUAGCUCACAGGACCUGAAAUGGGUCGUUUAAAUGGAGUUAUGAUUGACUAGUGGCUAGUUAAGUCAUUCUGGAGGUUCUAGAGCUUUCCCACUUUGUCCGGAGCACUGUUUUUGCACUGAAGUCCCUCCUUCAAGCACAAAGCCAGCUGUGCUUCUUCACCUCUUCAGAGCCUUAUGGAUUAUAGCAGUUCUAUUAAGAGGUCCAGACUGUUUCAAGAUCCUUAGCUGCACCUGACAAGUCACUCGGGCCAUGUGAAGGUGAUGCCACAUAUCCAGCUUAGGGAUACGGACAGAGACAUAUCUGGAAGGAGUGCAUUCUGAAACACACAGAAGGGCAUGUCAUCUUCCAAAGACUGCUGCUGGCUCAGUCAUUUCUAUUGUUUUUUGUGUAUUAACUUCUGCUUUGUUUUCCUGGGGCUAAUUUGAGGUUCUUGUCUUUUUUCAGUGGGAUACUUAAUCCAGCCAAUUGUGUUACCCUCUGACCCUCACAUGGUAGUUUCACAUCUACAUAGUGCUUCUUUUAUCACCAAGAAAUCAUUUAAACAGCCUUUUGUUUUGGGUACUGUUCCUAUACUGGGUUUUGUUUUCUCCACUACAUAGUUAGAAGGCAUGAAUCAUAUCUGCAGACACCUGCUUGAGGAUGCACACAGUGUGAGAGAUGCUGUCUACAGCUCAAAUUCAUUUGCUGUGGUGAAUUGUUACUCUAUCUUGGGACAAGGUAUCAGGUUAAGGAGAGCUUUUCUCCUUUUUUUUUUUUUUUGGUUUUCGAGAGAGGGU